GUAAAUUAAUUUGUUUCGUUGAAGGUGAGUAAUAGAAUAGAAAGCCGUUAGGCUUUUCUAUGUAAGCUACUGGUUUAAAGUAUAUCUAGUAGGACUCAAGGAUUGGAUAUGGUAAAACCUGAACUUGGUAGCUCAAAGAUGGUACAGUGCAUUGAGUUGAUACUUUUAUGGGAAUGAGAUCUUGCUCCUGAGUGACAACUUUCCGCUCAGAGCCCACCUGCCUAUAUUUAAAGCCAGGGCUCUUUUUUCCCUAUGUACAUAAUUUAUCUCAUUUUUAUCUGUUGUUUUACUGACCACUCGCUCUGUCUCAUAAGGUCUUUCUGCCCUCAUUUAUACCGCUUCCCUCAUUCUCACUACUAUGAAUACUUUCAUGGAUUGGCAAACUAUCAUAUCUCGUUGCUUCCUUCCCUGUCCAGGUUGUUGCUGAGAAAAGUCCUUAUAUUCUGAAAUUACAAUCCAAGUAUAAUAAAUUAUGCAAAGGCAAAAAGACCAAAAUUUGCCAAGCCAGUAGUACCCACAAACAUCUUACAUGCUGAUAUUGUCCAUGCUGAUUUCUGAAACUCUGAAUUUCUUGAAGAAAUCAAGAAACACCAAAUAUUUGAACUUUUUCAAGUGAAGUGUCAAGUGCUGACAUGGUAUAGCAAUACCUAGGAGAUCACUUCAUAUGAAUUUCAAUUCAUCCAAGUCUUUCACAUUGUAGAAGUUUUCAUUACUCAUUGAAUCCACAGGAACUUGGGAUUACUGGCUUGUGAAGUUCUUCAUAAUGAAAGACCAGUAAAUAAUUUAUCUAAAGCAAGUAAGAAGUCAUAUAUUAUAUAUACCAGGAUGCCACGUGUAACAGGUAUGUCUGUAUUUAGCACCACACUGUUAUUAGUAGCCAUGGAACCUGAUCCUGUGUGAUGUUGCUCUGUUUUGAUAGCUCUUUCAGACUGGAUUAAAUAGAUGAGGAAGGGUGCCAGUUUUAUUUGACACAACCCAGGUUGCAAAAUUAAUGUGUAAACAGAUCUAUUAUAUAGCAACUUGGAGUUGGUAAGUGAACAAAGACUUCAACGGUUUUGUCCCUUUUAAUCACUCUGUGAGUAAUUGUGGUUUAGGUGAAACUGAUAAUAAUUUUGUUGCAGAAAUGUUUAAAAAUUUGGUGGUUCAAAACUAAUAGUCAUUGUAAUACCUUGUUUGACUCAAAAAAAAGGUUGUCUUUUGUUCACAUCAAACCAUUUAAUAAUUACCGUAUGUUAAACUUAAAACCUUUAAAGAGCUAUGGUGGGGAAAGACAUAUGAGAUGUUACCUUAAAUUCUUCUUUUUUUUUUAAUAUCUUUCCUUCUUGUUGAAGUGUUAAGUUUAGUGUAAAUUUCUGAAAUAUUCAUUGGUAUCCUGGUUAUGGUCAGUUCUUCUGCCUCAGAAGUGGAAGAUUUAAGUUCUAUAGCAGAGUGUCUUUCAUUAUAGUUAGAAAGGAAUCUGAAUGAAGUAUAAUAACUUCAAAGUUAAAUGCCGUUCAAGCAUACACAAACAGCUUCCUGGACUCUCUUGUAAGCUGAAAGGAAAGGACAGAGGAAAUACAGUUGAUAAACAAAACGUCCUCCUUUGCUUUUCUAGUCUAGUUGCAAAUCCAGCCAAAAAAUGUAAGGAGUUCAUUCAAAAAACCAUUUUUUACAUUUAGUUUUUCUAGAUUUUUUUAAUUUUAUUUUUACAGGUAAUGGCCAAAUGAGUCCCAAAAUGUUUAAUGGCUUCAGAAUAACGAACAGUUCACUGGAAAGGUUGCCUGGAUAUGUUCUGCAUUCAACAACUGAGCUUUUAUUUAAUUUUAUCUCAUAACAAUUACAAGAAAUCUUGAAUAAGUCUUUAUAAUAAGGAAAGACAAGUUUGGUUUGAUAUGGAAUGUUAUAAAUCUACCAUAUUCACUCUUCUGACUAUUUGUUUUACAGCUGGGAGGACCACGACUGUAACUCAGAAUAGCAGAGAACAGCUAACAGGAGUUGGCUUGAGAGUAACAAAUGCCCUGGUAGAAAAGAGUGGGAUAACUAAAGAAUUAUUUUAGAAAUUUGAAGUGUGGAGGACAAGGGAAAGUUGAUGAUGAGAAAAGCCGAGGAAGAAAUCUGAAGAUCAGACACCAGAAUAGUUGCUAUUUAUAAGAAGGUAGGAGCUUGGAAAAGAAAUAGAGGAAUGUGAGCUGCUUCAGGGGUAACAGGAAUGAGACAGAGGAAACAGAGACAAAAUUUUUAGACAGAGGCUAUCAGAGAAGGAGCAGAGCAGAAUAGGGGGAGUUUUCAGUCACACAGAAGCAAGGUUCAGAAACAAUCUGAAUGUCUAGGAGAACUUGAGAUGAGACCCUUCUUCUCCAGCACCCCUGCACAGGUCAUGAACUGAAAUUUAACUAGAUUCAAAGAGCUGACAGGAUAAAAGGGUCAACAUUCGGGGUCCCACAGAUCAUGGCAACAAUUAUUGUGAGGGUCAUCUCAGAGUCAAGCAUGCAAACCAGAAGGCAACAUCUUUUCUUCCAUGAAGACUACUGGCAUAUAACUGCACUAUUUUAGUUCUGCAUUAUGGCUGCAGAUGUUUUCAGACUUUUCUCUUUAUUGAACGAUGAAACGUUUCAUUCAACUCGGGAAAAUGACUGGUCUUGUCAAUUGCUUACAACACAGGGAGCAAGCAGCCACUCAUUCCUUUUUUUUCCUGCAACUCUGCCGCUCGUCCAGCAGGGGGAGAUGCAGGAACAAGGAGACAAUUUCUCUCGACGUCUAAAGAAAAAGACCUGGGAUCAUUUGUCAGGAGAGUUCCCCUUUGUCUAAGCUACUGUACAACAGGUCAAAUACAAGACAUUUAUGAGACACUUAUUUACUAUCUUAGUUUAGUCUUCGUUUUGCAGAGGAGUAAAAGGUCUAUCAAGUAAUUAGACAGUGUUUUCCAGGCCCUGGUAUUGAGUGCUCAUCAAUAGUAAAUCUUCUGAGUUUCAGCUGUCAGUCAUUAAUAACUGAGUACAUGUUUGAGCUGUGCAAAUCCAGGUAAAAGAAACAUAAAUGUGGUUGAAAGGGAAAGCAUAGGUUUGUUUAGCUUUUUAUUACUUAGUGCAGUAUUUUUAAGCAAACAGAAUAAGCAAAGGAAACUGAAAUGGCAGCCUAAAUUAAUUGACUAUGCAUGAUAAUAGAUAUUUAACUAUGGAUAAAAGGAAGUUUAGCUAUCUAUUCAGCAUGUAAUUUUUCCUGUACCUUACCAGUGUAUUGGUCUGUUUCAUUACUAAAAUGUAUUCAUCAUGCUGUUGUAUCUCGGCCUAUACCCUCACUCUUCGUCAUGGAAGUUUGUUUCUUAUUAUUCAUUUAUCUUACUAUAGUACUCUGUCAGGAUCAGAUCAUGUGAACGUUCCCUACAUGGGUUUGAUUUCAUUCCUACUCUUGUGCCCACAAACACUUUUGUACUUUUGGGGUACUAGGAUUGCAAGUAGAUGCAGGAAACAAUGGCAGCAAAUAGACAACUUACCUGCUCUAAGUUAAGCAAGUACAAAGCUCUGUACGAUUUUGGCUUUACUCAUGCCCAGUUUAUCCAGUAACUUCCAUCUGUUUAGGUUUUGCUGGCUGGUUUGGUUAUUAUCUUUGGUCCUCAUGUCUCUUUCUCAAACUGUGCAGUGUCAUGAUGAUCUUUUUCCCCUCUCUCAUUAGGUAUUUGUUAGACCAAGACAUAUUACCUUUCAUUUACCAAGCUGGGCACUGUAAUAAACCAGAAAAUAUCUGGCCAGAUCCUGAAAGCAUUUGACAUUCAUGCACAAGGAAUUAAUAUAAAGUUAUUUGACACCCCAAUAACUGUAUACUUACACUGUGCUUUUUGCCUUAAUCCCCUUUAUAAAUGCUCUGUGUGCAGCUCUGGUAGAGCUUUGCAUUCCGGCAUAGUCUGUCACACACUAACUUCUUUCGUUAGGUGUGCGUUGAAGCUGUGAAGCAGAAGCAGCCUUCAGGCCGGGUAGAAGAUAUCCAAGUCUUUACUUAUCAAAGUUUGGGUUUAGAUAUGAGUCCAGACUUCACAGCUAGCACUGCCUCUGAAAUAGUCUUUUUUGGGUGGUUUGCUCAAUGCUCCCUCAAAACUACAGAGCCAUGCUCAUGAAAGUCGACAACACUUUGCAGAAUAUGUUACUUACCAGUGUAUUCUCCUUAUGCUUUUCUGCCUACUGGUUAUAUCAGCCUGAUAAGCUUCUAAAUACAGAUAAAAAAGUAGCAGAGGUGAGGCUUGUCUUAUCUGCCUACUUCAUCACAUGGUCAAAGGAUACAUUAGCAACCACUUCACUGAGGAUAAAUUUCUGUGGGUCCUGCCACACACAGAGUUGUUACACUCAGGUUGAGACAGACAAAUCUCCUUUUCAAAGAAUGGGUGAGGCAAAGCCAGAGCUUGUUCUGGAAGCUUGCCAUGCCAGACUAGGCGAUAAUGUCAGAUCCUCUCUUUUCUUUAAUCAAAAGGGUGAACUUUCAGCAUGUGUCACUGUGAACAUGUUUAUUGGUUUAGAGCUACUUGAUCAGGUGGAAACAGGACAUGGUCACAAGGGAUAACCACAGAGCAGCCAGGCUGGGAGAUGUCCUUGUAGAGCUGUGCAAGUCUUGAACUGAAAAGGAAGAAAAUAGGAGACGGAGCUGCCUCUGCCUCAACAGGCAGGAUCACCACGGUUCUGGAGGAGGAGAUGAUGUAAGGAGGCUGCAGCUGCACAUAUGCCAUGCUGGGGGCGGUUCUAGGAACUUCCCCAUCUCUGCCUGCCCAAGAUCCUGAUAAGUAUAAAAUAUUGUGAAAUUGUUGUAGAUGUUUGUGUUUAAGUAGGAAACUGAAGAUCUAUUGCAUUUGGCAUCUUUUUUUCCUAACUUUUCUGGUAAUUUUCAGGCGAGAAUCUUGGGCUGGAAACAGGUAGAUCUUGGGGUGUAAAUCUGGUGCAGUUGCAUCCUGAUAACUGCAUGAGCACACAUGCAGACACUGCAUGAAAUGCUGGCAUUUGAAAAUAUGAAAGGGGAAAAAAGGUGGAUCUACAUUUGAUACUAUUGUGAAGGAUUUGCUCUGCUUCUGAAGAUUGCCUUACAUCUGCGCUUUCUAAAGUCAGGGCAACCAGAUUUUUUUUCCAGUUUCUCUGCCAGAGCUAAUGUGCCUAGGGAAAUGCAGGGACUCAGUCCUACUUCAAAGUCCAGUUAAGACCCAGGGAUGAAUGUGCACUAUUAUCUUCCUUACACUCAUUUUUCUGGGAGCUCUUCCUUUGUUUACUCUCUCCUGAAACAAAACUUAUCUGCCACCCUGUUCAGACUGCAAAGAAAGUGAUUUUCAUCACUUGUAUUUUUUUAGCUAUCACCUUAUCUCCAGCCUGAAAGAUGGGAUAAGUUGUGUCUUCAUUUGAGUAUAGCUCCAGGCUUCCACUUAAAACAUUACAGACAAGAUGUUUUAGGGUCUAGUAAGAGCAGUGAUCCUCCUCCAUGGAUUUAGUUUUGAAAUGCGUAGAUUUAGAAAUCCACCUCUGUAACAUAAUUAUUUGUUAGAUUUUAAUCAAGAAUAAGUAUGCUAAAUUUGCUGUCUAAAUAUGUCUAGGACUUGGACAAAUUUUUUCACCACCGAUAUUCUAAUUAUAUAAAAUAGAUGUGGAUGUAAACAGAAAGCAUUUUUUUCAUGACUAAUAAAAAUAUAAGUGGAUCUAAAUAAGUAUCAUAUGGUGUUUGAUUUUAAAAGAUAAGAGAUCAUCAACUGUCAG